rnacentral:rRNA from 1 species
AGAGUGAACGCUGGCGGUAGGCCUAACACAUGCAAGUCGAACGGCAGCACGGUAAGAGCUUGCUCUUAUGGGUGGCGAGUGGCGGACGGGUGAGGAAUACAUCGGAAUCUACCUUUUGGUGGGGGAUAACGUAGGGAAACUUACGCUAAUACCGCAUACGCCCUUCGGGGGAAAGCCGGGGACCAGCAAUGGCCUGGCGCUGAUAGAUGAGCCGAUGUCGGAUUAGCUAGUUGGUGAGGUAAUGGCUCACCAAGGCGACGAUCCGUAGCUGGUCUGAGAGGAUGAUCAGCCACACUGGAACUGAGACACGGUCCAGACCUCCACGGGAGCAGCAGUGGGAAUAUGGACAAGUGGGCGCAAGCCUGAUCCAGCCAUACCGCGUGGGUAGAAG